rnacentral:pre_miRNA from 1 species
AUCACUUAGGGGCCUUAUUAAAAUGCAGAUUUUGAUUCAGCAGAUCCUGGAUAGGACCUGAGAUUCUGCAUUACCAAUAAGCUCCCAAGUGAUGCCAA